rnacentral:ncRNA from 1 species
UUAAAGUUUUAUUCUGGCUUAAGUUCUCAGUUUUGAAUUGAAACACAUGUAAAUGUUAAUGAGACUAUUAGAGACUAUGAUUCUAAAGGAAGAUAGUCUGCCAAUCUUCAAAAAUAUUUGAUAAUAGAUUAAUUCUCAGUGUUUAGUGCUAAUCAUAUGAAUGAAAGUUUGAAUUGGUAAUUUUAAAUUAAUAUUAAUGACCGGUUAAAAUUUGUGCCAGCAGCCGCGGUUAGACUGAGGGUCAAACUGAGAAAUAUAUUGGUUAAAAGUAAUUAGGUGUGAAUUUACAUGAAUUAAAGAAUUUAUAUUAAUAAAAGGUGAAAUUAAAUUUUUAAUUAUUAAAUAACUUAACGGUGUUUAAUAAAUUAUUGAAGUUACUAAGAUAAAGAUAUAAACUAGGAUUAGAUACCCUAUUAUACUUUAUUUUAAAUAUUAUUACCUGGGUAAUAAACAGUUAUAAUCUUGAAACUCAAAGAAUUUGGCGGUAACUUAGUCUACUUAGAGGAACCUGUCCUAUAAACGACAAACCACGAAGAAUCUUACCUUAUUUUGUAAAAUAAUCAGUUUGUAUACCGUCAUUAUCAGAUAACUUUAUUAAAAUACUAGUUAUUGUAAUAAGACGUUUUUAGAAUAUUAGAUCAAGGUGCAGCUAAUGAUAAGGUAGAGAUGGGUUACAAUAAACAAAAUUACCACGUAUUAAAAACUUAAUAAAUUUUUCUGAAGGAGGAUUUAAAUGUAAGGGCAUUUUAAUAAGUUGCCCUGAUUUUUAGCUCUAAGUUAUGUACACAUCGCCCGUCGCUCUCGUUAAUUAAAGCGAGAUAAGUCGUAACAUAGUAGGUGUACUGGAAAGUGUACCUAGAGAGAC